rnacentral:rRNA from 1 species
AUGGGGAUGUAUUCAAGUGGAAGCAGCUCUGGCCGAUGCUGGCUGAUCAUUUCGGGUUGGAAUGGGCAGGGUACGAGGGAGAGGACGGCCGGUUCAUCAUUGCCGACGCCAUGGCCCGGAAGGAGGCGGUGUGGGCGGAGAUCGUACAGGAGAACGAGCUUGUCACGACUGAGCUCAAGGAGAUCACCAACUGGUGGUUUGUCGACGCCGUGUUAA